GUGCCUUAAACUAAUGAGUAAGGAAAAUAACGAUCUGGGUGACGCCAGAUCUACGAUCAGUUUCGUACUUAAUUUUUGACGGAUUUAGAGGUUGCCCUUGGGUGACCCGCUUACUUCUGCGGGAUGCCUGUGUUGCAGCGACCUCC